GCAUAUCAAUAAGCGGAGGAAAAGAAACUAACAAGGAUUCCCUUAGUAACGGCGAGUGAAGAGGGAAGAGCUCAAAUUUUAAAUCUAUCAUGUUUGUACAUGAUCGAGUUGUAAUUUGAAGAAGCGUUUUCUCGUACUUUAUGCAAUCAGUAUAAGUUCUCUUGGAACAGGACAUCAUAGAGGGUGAUAAUCCCGUCUGUUACUGGUUGUGAGGUUCGUUAUGAUACGCUUUCAAAGAGUCGAGUUGUUUGGGAUUGCAGCUCCAAAUGGGUGGUAAACAUCACCUAAGGCUAAAUAUUUGCGAGAGACCGAUAGCGAACAAGUACCGUGAGGGAAAGAUGAAAAGAACUUUGAAAAGAGAGUUAAAAAGUAUGUGAAAUUGUUGAAAGGGAAACGAUUGAAGUCAGUCGUGCAGUCAUCAAUUCAGCGGUUAACAUUUUAUGUUUCCGUGUAAUUUGGUGUCUGUUGGUUAGCAUCAAUUUUGAUUGUUAUAAAAAGGUUAAGGGGAUGUGGCUCCUUCGGGAGUGUUAUAACCCUUAGCGUAAUGUGACGAUUAGGAUUGAGGUUUGCAACGAAUACCUUUUAGGGCAGUUUCACCUGGCCUCUCGUGGAAUUAUAGAUAGUUAAGAGCAUGCUCUUACUGUCUAUGAUUCUACGAAAAGGUUAGUGUAAAACUAAUUCGUUAAGGAUGUUGACGUA
rnacentral:rRNA from 1 species